rnacentral:rRNA from 1 species
GUCGGUAAAACUCGUGCCAGCCACCGCGGUUAUACGAGUAGGCCCGAGUUGAUAAACAUCGGCGUAAAGAGUGGUUAGGGACAGGAUAAAUAACUAAAGCCGAAUAUCCUCAAAGCUGUUAUACGCUUCCGAUGGGAAGAAGCCCCCUCACGAAAGUAGCUUUAACCUCCAACCUGACCCCACGAAAGCUGAGGUACAAACUGGGAUUAGAUACCCC